UACGGAGGGUGCGAGCGUUGUCCGGAAUCACUGGGCGUAAAGGGCGCGUAGGUGGCGACGCAAGCGUGCGGGUGAAAGCUCGGGGCUCAACCCCGAGUCGGCCGUGCGAACUGCGUUGCUCGAGCACUGUAGAGGCAGAUGGAAUUCCGGGUGUAGCGGUGGAAUGCGUAGAGAUCGGGAAGAACACCAGUGGCGAAGGCGGUCUGCUGGGCCGUUGCUGACGCUGAGGCGCGACAGCGUGGGGAGCAAACAGG
rnacentral:rRNA from 1 species